UGACUCUAAUCAUGAACACAUGUGAGUCUUCCCACUAUCUGGGCCAAUUAUAGGCAGCAGACACUAAACAAUCUAUCACAGCCGUAUAGAAAAAUGGGCCCCCUGAUACAAAAAGUAGGAUGAAAAAUGAUAUGGAACUUGAAGAGGUGAGAGCAGAUGGAUUAUGAACUAUAAAUGUAUAACAAAUGAACCGAGCAGGGGGCUCAGGACUGCCAGGCCAACUCAAUCAAUCACCGCCCUAACAAGACGGCAGGCAGCACGCUGUCGCUUCGAGGGGAACGACUCACAGGCGGCACAUUUCUAACUCAGAGAUGGCUGGCACACAAAGGCACAUGUCUGCAUGGAGAGGGAUAUAAGGCUGAGAGCAAACACACAGGUUUCCCCUCUGUGGGCUCUGUGUCGGGUUAUAACAUUUGAGCCGAUAGCAAAACUGCUGUCUGGGAUUCAGUACUGGUUCCAAACUGUAUCUUCUUAUUGUAUUUACUGACUGAUCAGUGAUGAGAUAACCUAAAAAUGAUCACAGAGCUGCUUGUGAACCUGCCAUAACAGCUGUAGGCCUGUGGACUUCAACAAAGGAAAAGUAGAAUAAAGUAGAAGCUUUAUGGUUUUAAACAACCUUUAGAUUUCUGAGUUUACAAGAUUCACCUGAAUGCACCCUGAAGUCAAAGACAGAAGCAACAUGAGUGAACCACGAUGAGAAAAGAGAAAAGCUGUUCCAGGCCUUCCUUGCGUGCUCAUUGAAUAGAAUAUUGACAUUGCAGAACCACAAGCUGUAAUUGGAUUGCGCCAUCCAGAAUGAUUAAUUUAGAUUUUUACUUUUAGCCUGCAUCCUCCCAAUGUGCCACCACUGUUCCACCUCAUUGUCCCCAUAAAGAUGACCUCACCGUCCGGCCUGGGCCUCCGCCUCCUCCUCC